GGGGCUUUAGCUCAGCGGGAGAGCAGUAGCUUUGCAAGCUUCAGGUCCUCGGUUCAAUCCCGAGAAGCUCCACCA
rnacentral:tRNA from 1 species